rnacentral:rRNA from 1 species
GAGGAAUGUAUAGCAAUAGCUACUUGCAUCAUUACAAUCACAAUGGUGAUGUAAGAUCGACUAUGUCGAAUAAAAUUCUAGGUAGAAUUAUGAUAAUGACAUUGUCUGCCUAUGUGUCUUGACCAAAUUACGUGCCAGCAGUCGCGGUAAUACGUAGAAGACUAGUGUUAUUCAUGUUUAAUCGGUUUAAAGGGUACCUAGACGGCAGAUCAAGCUUUCGAUGAAAUAAUAUUAAAGGAAAAGGACUAAUAUGCUAGAGUUACUUAUGAGGGGGUAUUAAAGUACUGCUGGUGUAGAGAUGAAAUUCUGUCAUACCUCUCUUCAAAAGAAGAAUGAUGGCACAGGUAUAGGCGAAGGCAUCCCCUUAUGUGAUAACUGACGUUGAGGGACGAAGGCUUUGUGUAGCGAACAGGAUUAGAUACCCCAGUAGUCGAAGCAGAAAAUGAUGAAUGUCAUAGAUUAGAUAUAAGUUUAUUCUAUAAAUGAAAGUGUAAGCAUUCCACCUCAAGAGUAAUUUGGCAACAUUGGAACUGAAAUCAUUAGACCGUUUCUGAAACCAG